UACGUAGGGUGCAAGCGUUGUCCGGAAUUAUUGGGCGUAAAGAGCUCGUAGGCGGUUUGUCGCGUCUGCUGUGAAAUCCCGAGGCUCAACCUCGGGCCUGCAGUGGGUACGGGCAGGCUGGAGGCAGGCAGGGGAGAACGGAAUUCCCGGUGUAGCGGUGAAAUGCGCAGAUAUCAGGAGGAACACCGGUGGCGAAGGCGGGUCUCUGGGCAGUAACUGACGCUGAGGAGCGAAAGCGUGGGGAGCGAACAGG
rnacentral:rRNA from 1 species